rnacentral:rRNA from 1 species
CGUGCAGAUGGUUUGGUAAGUUGGGUAUGAAAUCUCCUGGCUUAACUAGGAGAGGUUGCUCAAAACUACCAGACUGGAGGACGGUAGAGGAAGGUGGAAUUCCCGGUGUAGUAGCGAAAUGCGUAGAUAUCGGGAGGAACACCAGUGGCGAAGGCGGCCUUCUGGGCCGUUCCUGACACUAAGACGCGAAAGCAUGGGUAGCAAACG